AUGGCAUCCAUCCAUCCAUCCAUCCAUCCCAUUUAUCUAAACAAAAAAAAGAGAAAGAAAGAAAAGAACCCCCACCCUCCGGGCAGCCCAACCACCCAAACCCUAUCCCAUCCCACUCCAUCGUCGCCGCCCCCAGAUGCAAUCUCGCCGCUGCCACGCUCGCGCACGCUCGCCGCCGCCAUCCAUCCAUCCUCUCGAGCUCGCGCACGCUCGCCGCUGCCACGUCCGCCGCCGCAGGCGGCGUACGUGAAGCUCGCGCUGCACGCGCUCAAGCACCCGGCGGCGGCCGUCAACGGGCUCCUCAUCGGCCGCCUGGCGGACUCGGCCGCCUCCCCGGCCGUCGUCUCGGUCGUCGACGCCGUGCCGCUCUCCCACCAGCCGCACCACCUCCCGCUGCUCCCCACGCUCGAGCUCGCGCUCACCCUCGUGGAGGACCACUUCCAGGCGCAGGGCCUCGCCGUCGUCGGAUACUACCACGCCAACGCGCGCCGCGAUGACGCCGACCUCCCCGUCGUCGCCAAGCGCGUCGGGGACCACAUCUUCCGCUACUUCCCCCGCGCCGCCGUGCUGCUGCUGGACAACAUGAAGCUCGAGGAGGUGGUGAAGGGGAGCAGCCGCGAUGCAGUUGUUCAGUAUGUUUCCUUAGAUACUGUAUCUUCUAUUAAGUUUUUAGUGGUAACUACAAAAAUUAGACCAUGUAUUGACUUUCUUCCUAGCCUUUUUUCUGUCAUUUUUCAUGCAUUGAACUAA
rnacentral:rRNA from 1 species